CCCUUGUUCUUAAAGGAGCGCUCAACGGGACUGCCUCCGGGCAUCUUUUCCGGCAUCCUCUCCUCCCUCCUCUACUUGGUCUUUGCCCGAUGCCUCCCCGCAAGGCAUCCAUGCGAUGAUCCACGACCUCCGCGGCCAGAUCUCAGGCUCCGAUCUCACCUCCAGUUUCCCAGCCUCCUCCUCCGACGACGACGAUGGUCGGUGUGGAGCAAUUUGAUCUGCUGGCGCAGCAGAUCAGAGGCCUCACUGAGGCCGUACAGGCCAUGCAGUAGCAGCAGCAGCCGCAAGC
rnacentral:lncRNA from 1 species